rnacentral:rRNA from 1 species
GACGAACGCUGGCGGCGUGCUUAACACAUGCAAGUCGAACGGAAAGGCCCUGCUUUUGUGGGGUGCUCGAGUGGCGAACGGGUGAGUAACACGUGAGUAACCUGCCCUUGACUUUGGGAUAACUUCAGGAAACUGGGGCUAAUACCGGAUAGUAGCUCCUGCUGCAUGGUGGGGGUGGGAAAGUGUCGGCGGUUGGGGAUGGACUCGCGGCUUAUCAGCUUGUUGGUGGGGGAGUGGCUUACCAAGGGUUUGACGGGUAGCCGGCAUGAGAGGGGGACCAGGGCCCAGGGGCCUGAGAUACGGCGCAGACUCCUACGGGAGGCAGCAGUGGGGAAUAUUGCACAAUGGGCGGAAGCCUGAUGCAGCAACGCCGCGUGCGGGAUGACGGCCUUCGGGUUGUAAACCGCUUUCGCCUGUGACGAAGCGUGAGUGACGGUAAUGGGUAAAGAAGCACCGGCUAACUACGUG